rnacentral:rRNA from 1 species
GACGAACGCUGGCGGCGUGCUUAACACAUGCAAGUCGAACGCUGAAGCUCAGCUUUUGUUGGGUGGAUGAGUGGUGAACGGGUGAGUAACACGUGAGUAACCUGCCCCCUUCUUUGGGAUAACGCCCGGAAACGGGUGCUAAUACUGGAUAUUCACUGGUCUUCGCAUGGGGGUUGGUGGAAAGGGUUUUUCUGGUGGGGGAUGGGCUCGCGGCCUAUCAGCUUGUUGGUGGGGUGAUGGCCUACCAAGGCUUUGACGGGUAGCCGGCCUGAGAGGGUGACCGGUCACAUUGGGACUGAGAUACGGCCCAGACUCCUACGGGAGGCAGCAGUGGGGAAUAUUGCACAAUGGGCGCAAGCCUGAUGCAGCGACGCCGCGUGAGGGAUGGAGGCCUUCGGGUUGUGAACCUCUUUCGCUCAUGGUCAAGCCGCAACAAUGGUUGCGGUGAGGGUAGUGGGUAAAGAAGCGCCGGCUAACUACGUG